UUUUUUUUUCCAAGUAUUUCACUACGGGGAUUCCCAGGUAAGGGAAGUACCAAACAUUGCUGAUGACAGGUAAUUAUAUGAUGUUUUUAGUAGUAAUUUAGGGUAGUUUUAAUAGCAGUCGAAGCCCAAAAGCAAGGAAAUGCCUGGAAAAGUGAAGUUACUUGGCCCAGAAGCAAGAAACGUUGAAAAGGCAGCAAAAAAGGGGUAAAAACGUAAUAAACAGCGUGCACCAUCAUACCCACGAUGAGAUCCGGCGUGGCGCGAUGAGAAGGCAGUUUAAAUUGAAGAAAAUCCGCAACAAAUCUUUUCCAUCGUACCACGAUGACUUGUCAUCGUGGCACAAUGACUUGUCAUUGUGGCACGAUGAUGAUGGCAAAAGCACGCAGAAAAUCUUGAGGAAAUCUUCCAUCGUACCAUGAUAUGAUCCAUCGUGGCCACGAUAAGGCAAAAUUACACACCAUCGUGGCCACGAUAGGUGCAACACCCAAACCCCUUAACGCGAAUUUAUUGAAUAUAAAUAAAUAAAACACUUAAGAAAAUCUAGGCAUCACAUGUUAUAAUACAAAAUCACGGCAAAUUUAAAAUCAUGCUAGCACAGCGGUGAUUAAAAGCAAAUAUAGAUCAUAGUGC
rnacentral:lncRNA from 1 species